GAUGAACGCUGGCGGCGUGCCUAAUACAUGCAAGUCGAGCGAACAGAUAAGGAGCUUGCUCCUUUGACGUUAGCGGCGGACGGGUGAGUAACACGUGGGUAACCUACCUAUAAGACUGGGAUAACUUCGGGAAACCGGAGCUAAUACCGGAUAAUAUUUCGAACCGCAUGGUUCGAUAGUGAAAGAUGGUUUUGCUAUCACUUAUAGAUGGUCCCGCUCCGUAUUAGCUGGUUGGUAAGGUAACGGCUUACCAAGGCGACGAUACGUAGCCGACCUGAGAGGGUGAUCGGCCACACUGGAACUGAGACACGGUCCAGACUCCUACGGGAGGCAGCAGAAGGGAAUCUUCCGCAAUGGGCGAAAGCCUGACGGAGCAACGCCGCGUGAGUGAUGAAGGUCUUAGGAUCGUAAAACUCUGUUAUUAGGGAAGAACAUACAUGUAAGUAACUGUGCACGUCUUGACGGUACCUAAUCAGAAAGCCACGGCUAACUACGUG
rnacentral:rRNA from 1 species